rnacentral:tRNA from 1 species
GAGAGAGGCUCGCCAGCAACGGAGACUGCUAAUCUCCGCCCCCUCGGUUGAACCCCGGGGCUUUACUCG